rnacentral:rRNA from 1 species
UAGGGAAUCUUCCACAAUGGACGCAAGUCUGAUGGAGCAACGCCGCGUGAGUGAAGAAGGUCUUCGGAUCGUAAAGCUCUGUUGUUGGUGAAGAAGGAUAGAGGCAGUAACUGGUCUUUAUUUGACGGUAAUCAACCAGAAAGUCACGGCUAACUACGUGCCAGCAGCCGCGGUAAUACGUAGGUGGCAAGCGUUGUCCGGAUUUAUUGGGCGUAAAGCGAGCGCAGGCGGAAUGAUAAGUCUGA